AGAAGCAGCCAUCCUUUAAAGAAAGCGUAACAGCUCACUGGUCUAAACAAGGGUUCCUGCGGCGAAGAUGUAACGGGGCUCAAGACACGCACCGAAGCUUAGGGUGUGGCGCUUAUGCGUCACGCGGUAGCGGAGCGUUCCGUACGCCUGUGAAGCGGUCUGGUAAUGGACCGUGGAGGUAUCGGAAGUGCGAAUGCAGACAUGAGUAGCGAUAAAGAGGGUGAGAUGCCCUCUCGCCGAAAGACCAAGGGUUCCUGCGCAAGGCUAAUCCGCGCAGGGUGAGCCGGCCCCUAAGACGAGCCCGAAGGGGGUA
rnacentral:rRNA from 1 species